GUGGCCCAGGUCAGGCAGGAUUACCCGUUGAGUUUAAGCAUAUCAAUAAGCAGAGGAAAAGAAACUUACAAGGAUUCCCUUAGUAAUGGAUAGCGAACCAGGAAUAGCUCAGCCUUAAAAUCGUCCGGCUUCGUCGUUCGAAUUGUAGUCUAGAGAAGCAUCCUCAGUAGCGGACAGGGUUCAAGUCCCCUGAAGGGGGUGACAAAGAUUGUGAGAGCCUCGUUGUGCCCAGACCCUGUCAUACCAUGAGGUGAUGUUGACGAGUCAGAUUGUUUGGGAAUGCAGCCCAAAUCAGACGGUGAAUUUCAUCCAAGGCUAACUAUGGGCGAGAGGCUGAUAGCAAAUAAGUACCGCAAGGGAAAGAUUAAAAGAACUUUGAAAAUAGAGUCAAAGAGUGCUUGAAAUUUUUAGGAGAAAAGCGAAUAGGAACCGCGAUGCACCCCAGUCGGAUGUGGAACGACGACGAUCCAGUCUGCCGAUCGACUCGGGGCAUGGACCAGCAUGGAUUGGGGGGAGUACAAAGCCCGAGCUCUCUAUACCCUCGAAGAAAUCUGUCUCCUUGAUUGUGGUAGGCAGCGUGCACCUCUAGCGUACUUCGACAUCUGCGCGCUCCAGACACUGGCCUUUGGGUUCUCCAUUCGACCCAUCUUUAAACACAGACCAAAGAAUCUGACAUAUGUGCUAGUCAACGAGUGAGUAAACCCAUAAGUCUUAAGGAAGCUAAUUGGUAGGAUCCCCCUAAGGGGUGCACCACCGAUCGACCUUGAUCUUAUGAGAAGGGUUUGAGUGUGAGAAUAGUUUUUGUGACCCAAAAGAUGGUGAACUAUCCCUGAGCGAGGCGAAGCUAGAGAAAGCUCUGGUGAAGGCUUGCAGUGAUACUGACGUGAAAAUCAUUCUUCUUACUUAGGUAUAGGGGUGAAAGACUAAUCAAGCCGUCUAGUAGUAGGUCCCCUCCAAAGUAUCCCUCGGGAUAGCAGGAGCUCGGGUGCAAGUUCUAUUGGGUAAAGGCAAUUAUUAGAACACCCUUGACCUAUUCUCAAACUUUUCAUAGGUAGGAUGGUGUGACUGCUUGGUAGAGCUGCGCUACAAAAUCAAGAGCUAUAAGUGGGCCAUUUUUUGUAAGCAGAAUUGGCGAUGCAGGAUAAACCGGAGGUCGAGUUACGAUGCCAAACUAUGCGCUAACCUAGAUCCCACAAAGGGUGUUGGUAGAUUAAGACAGCAGGGCGGUGGUCAUGGAAGUUGAAAUAUGCUAAGGAAUGUGUAAGAACUCACCUGCUGAAUUAAAUCACCCCAAAAAUGGAUGGCGCUUAUGCGCACGACCUACAACCAACCGUCAGGGCAAGUGCUAGGCCCCGAUGAGUAAGAGGCAUGGCGGUCGCUGCAAAACCUUGGCUGCAAACUUGGGUGGAGUGACCGUCGGUGCAUAUCUUAGUGGUAGUAUCAAAUAUUUAAAUGAGAACUUUAAGGCUGAAGAGGGAAAGGCUCCAUGUGAACGGCACUUGCACAUGGGUUAGUCGAUCCUAAGGGUCGGGGGAACCCCAACAAAUAGCAUAUUUUGCACAUAGUCUAAAAGAAAAUUAGGUUAAAAGUACAAAACUGGGACGUGGCAGUCGACGGAAAUGUUAGAAAGUUUGAAGAUGUCGGCAGGAGCCUCGAGAAGAGUUAUUUUUUUUGUUUAACAGCCUGGCCACACUGGAAUCGGCUCUGCCAGAGGUAGGGUAUAGUUGCUGAAAGAGAACCACACAUCGCGUGGUGUCAAAUGUACACUCGGAGGCCCUUGAUAAUAUGGAGGACCGAAUGACAUCUACUCUAGGUCAUACUUAUAAUCACAUUCGGUCUCCAAGGUGAACAGCCUCUGUUAAAUGGAACAAUGUAGGCAAGGGAAGUCGGCAAAAUGGAUCCGUAACUUCAGGAAAAGGAUUUUCUCUAAGCUAUGGGCACGGGGUCCCAAUCCCAAACCCAUCGACUAUCGAUGGACUGCUUGAGGUACUCUCGUGGUGAGAGCGGGUCGUCAUAUGCCGGUCGGGGGAUGAACUCAAAAUGGUUCCUUCGAGGGCCUUCCCCACGUGUCAAAUAACGAACUCAAAAAUGGUACGCAAAAGGAAAAUCCAACUGUUUAAUUAAAAAAAAGCAUUGCGAUGGUACCAACGGAUGUUCACACAAUGUGAUUUCUUCCUAGUACUUUGAAUAUCAUAGUGAAGAAAUUCAACCAAGCGCAGGUAAAUGGCGGGAGUAACUAUGACUUUCUUAAGGUAGCCAAAUGCCUCAUCAUCUAAUUAGUGACGCUUAUGAAUGGAUCAACGAGAUGCCCACUGUCCUUGUCUACUAUCCAGUGAAACUACAACCAAAUAAAUGGGCUUGGCAGAAUCAGCAGGGAAAGAAGACCCUUUUGAGCUUGGCUCUAGUCAAAAUUUUUGAAAAUACUUGAGAGUUAUAGUACAAGUAGGACCCAAAAGGGGAAAGUGAAAUACCACUACUUUUAAUGUUAUAUUACUUUUUUCGUAAAUCGAAAGUGAGGCACUACCCUUUUUUGGGCAUAAGGCUCGCUCUACGGGCUGAUUCCAGCGGAAAACAUUGUUAGGUGGGGAGUUAGGCUGGGGCAGUAUAUCUGUUAAAAUAUAACAUAGGUGUCCUAAGAUAAUCUCAACGAGAACAAAAAGCUCAUGUGGAACAAAACGGUAAAAGAUCGUUUGAUUCUGAUUUGUAGUACAAAUACAAUUAGUGGAACCAUAUCCUAACUACCUUUAGACCUUUGAAAUUUGAAGCUAGAGGUGUCAAAAAAUUUACCACAGGGAUAACUGGCUUGUGGUAGCCAAACGUUCACAGCGAUGUUGCUUUUUGAUCCUUCGAUGUAGGCUCUUCCUAGCAUUGGGAAGCAAAAUUCACCAAGUUUUGGAUUGUUCACCCACCAAUAGGGAAUGUGAGCUGGAUUCAGACCAUUAUCAGACAGGUUAAUUUUACCCUACUGAUGACAGUGUUGGAAUAGUCACUCAUCCUAGUAUGAGAGGAAUCAUUGAUUCGCACAUUUGGUUAUCAUGCUUGGUUAAAAAGCCAGUGUAACGAAGCUAUCAUGUGAUGGAUUAUGAAAGAAUCCCUCUAAGUUAGAAUCUGGGCUAGAAGCAAUGCAUGUGCCCUCCAUUAACUUGCCGACCCACAGUAGGUGCCUCGUCCCCCAAAGGCACGUGUCGUUGGGUAAGCCAUUGUGGCGAAAGGGUUGCGGUGGCUACCUUUAAGUACAAUUUUCAUCGAGCAGUGGGUAGAAUCCUUUGAAGAGUACUUAAAUAUGCAAUAGGGUAUUGUAAGUGGUAGAGUGGCCUUGCUGCCAUGAUCCAAUGAGAUUCAGCCCUCUGUCACUCCAUUUCAC
rnacentral:rRNA from 1 species